rnacentral:tRNA from 1 species
GGUCUUGUAUUCUAUCAUAAGAAAUAAAAUUGCAAAUUUUAUAAAAUAAAUUUUAUUUAUUAAGACUU